rnacentral:RNase_P_RNA from 1 species
AAAGUAGACCAGACAGUCGCGGCUUUUCCGGUUUCGGCCGGAGAGAGCGAGGAAAGUCCGGACUCCACCAGGCAGGGUGAUGGCUAACGGCCAUCCGUGGCGACACGCGGAACAGGGCAACAGAAAGCAAACCGCCGAUGCCCCCGGGCGCAAGUCCGGGGAUCAGGUAAGGGUGAAACGGUACGGUAAGAGCGCACCGCGGCUGCUGCAAGGCCAGACCGGCAAGGUGACCUCCACCCGGAGCAAUUCCAAGUAGGCAGGCGGGCAUCUUCGCGAUGCAGGACGGUGUCUCUGUCUCGUCUGCGGGUAGGAAGCUUGAGCGCGCCAAUAAUGGCGCGACUAGAGGAAUGGCUGCCACGCGCGUUACGCUUUCGGGCGUGAGGCGUGCACAGAAUUCGGCUUAUCGGCCUGCUUUGUGA